rnacentral:rRNA from 1 species
CCUACGGGAGGCAGCAGUGAGGAAUUUUGCGCAAUGGGGGAAACCCUGACGCAGCAACGCCGCGUGGGUGAAGAAGGCUUUCGGGUCGUAAAGCCCUGUCAGGUGGGAAGAAACUCUUCAGUACUAAUAAUGCUGAAGCCUGACGGUACCACCAGAGGAAGCACCGGCCAACUCCGUGCCAGCAGCCGCGGUAAUACGGAGGGUGCAAGCGUUGUUCGGAAUUAUUGGGCGUAAAGAGCGUGUAGGCGGUUUGGUAAGUCAGAUGUGAAAGCCUUGGGCUCAACCCAGGAAGUGCAUUUGAAACUACCAGACUUGAGUACGGGAGAGGAGGGGGGAAUUCCCGGUGUAGAGGUGAAAUUCGUAGAUAUCGGGAGGAAUACCGGUGGCGAAGGCGCCCCUCUGGACCGAUACUGACGCUGAGACGCGAAAGCGUGGGGAGCAAACAGGAUUAGAUACCCUGGUAGUCCACGCCGUAAACGAUGAGCACUAGGUGUAGCGGGUAUUGACCCCUGCUGUGCCGUAGCUAACGCAUUAAGUGCUCCGCCUGGGGACUACGGUCGCAAGACUAAAACUCAAAUGAAUUGACGG